rnacentral:rRNA from 1 species
GACGAACGCUGGCGGCGUGCUUAACACAUGCAAGUCGAACGGAAAGGCCCUGCUUUUGUGGGGUGCUCGAGUGGCGAACGGGUGAGUAACACGUGAGUAACCUGCCCUUGACUUUGGGAUAACUUCAGGAAACUGGGGCUAAUACCGGAUAGGAGCUCCUGCUGCAUGGUGGGGGUUGGAAAGUUUCGGCGGUUGGGGAUGGACUCGCGGCUUAUCAGCUUGUUGGUGGGGUAGUGGCUUACCAAGGCUUUGACGGGUAGCCGGCCUGAGAGGGUGACCGGCCACAUUGGGACUGAGGUACGGCCCAGACGCCUACGGGAGGCAGCAGUGGGGAAUAUUGCACAAUGGGCGGAAGCCUGAUGCAGCAACGCCGCGUGCGGGAGGACGUCCUUCGGGUUGUAAACCGCUUUCGCCUGUGACGAGGCGUGAGUGACGGUAAUGGGUAAAGAAGCACCGGCUAACUACGU